UAGAUGUUAUUCCACCAUGUGCCACAGGAGGCGCUGGAAGCAACAAUCAUCUCUCUGAUAUAGUCCGUGGGGCCCUACAGGGUGAUGGGUCAUGGAUGGGCCAGAUUACCACAUAGAGGACCUGCUGGCGCUGAGGGACCUGGUGGUCUGAUCUGUUCCGGAUGUUAUUAAUGAUGAGGGAUCUACUGAAGACCACCAUUACUGCUGAUCACUUCUACAAAAGACCACCAUCACUGCUGAUCACUUCUACUGAAGACCACCAUUACUGCUGAUCACUUCUACUGAAGACCACCAUUACUGCUGAUCACUUCUACUGAAGACCACCAUUACUGCUGAUCACUUCUACAAAAGACCACCAUCACUGCUGAUCACUUCUACUGAAGACCACCAUUACUGCUGAUCACUUCUACUGAAGACCACCAUUACUGCUGAUUACUUCUACAAAAGACCACCAUCACUGAUGAUUACUUCUACUGAAGACCACCAUUACUGCUGAUCACUUCUACAAAAGACCACCAUCACUGCUGAUCACUUCUACUGAAGACCACCAUUACUGCUGAUCACUUCUACUAAAGACCACCAUCACUGCUGAUUGCUUCUACUAAAGACCACCAUCACUGCUGAUUACUUCUACUGAAGACCACCAUUACUGCUGAUCACUUCUACUAAAGACCACCAUUACUGCUGAUCACUUCUACUGGAGACCACCAUUACUGCUGAUUACUUCUGCUGGUGAGGAUAACUGGGAUUAUUGUUUGGUUCUGUCCAUUUCCCUUGAUAUUUGGGACUUCUCUAGAAGAUGACCACCACGGCACUGAGGAGUCCAUGGACCCAGCAGAGAAGUUCUUCAGUCUGCAGAGAGGUUCACGGGUCGCCUGCCCAAUGGUCUCCAUUCAUGAGGUGAACUGAUGUCCCUGAGGAGGAUGACGGGAGGAUCCCCGAGCCCAGAGGUGUCCAGGAAGAUGGUCCUGGAGCCGGCGAUGAGACACUUAACUCACAUCCUGGCUGCUUGGCCUUUUGGGGAAGUCUUCAGGACGGAUUUUCUACCUGUAGGAAAUGCUGCAAGAAGGGGCAAGGACUGUCCCAGAAAGACUGUGUGGGACCUAUGUGGGGAGGAGGCCGAUCACGUCUACAGGGACUGUCCAUAGAGAUCCAGGGACCAGAGAGUGUGACCUCCGCACCUGCCCCAACCCCAACGGCAAGAAAGGGGGCGCCACCGUCACUGUGCAUUUACCUUCAAAACAAGUCAAUACAGCACAGGAUCCCUAAGCUAUACACCGUACCACAUGCUACACUAACACUCCGAUCCAUCACUUGGUAUAGAAGAAUCAAGUUCGAAAAACAACAACAUAUUGCAGUCUGUGAUUGGGGAGUGGCGUGGGGUCAAAUGGGGGUAGGGGUAGGGCGGAUCACAGGGUCAAACUACUGGGCAAACGUAUGGGGAGGUAGGGGAAGAUGAGGGGCGUUAAUCCUCUUCUUCAUCGACGUCCGGACAGUCCAAGAUAGAAUAGUCUCUAAGCCGGCUGUGGACAAGCCUGCUGCAGUCCUGGACGGACAUGUCCUCCCUGUUGUAGAUGAGGUGAUUCCUGGCCAGCCAUAUAGCGUCCUUGAAACAGUUCAUAAGGCGCCAGGCCUCCUGGAUGGCCUCCACGUCGUGAACCCCAGGAAAAAGUCCAUAAAGCACCGAAUGGUACGAUAGGUAGUUCCUGGGUACCGAGUCUCUAAGUUCAAGUUCCAAUCACAAUUACAAUCACACAAAGCGUGACAGUACAAUAUAUAGCACGGGUUCCCUAAGGCUGCUUUCACACUGUAAAAUACUCCCGUUAAUAAACGCCCAUUAAAAAAUCCCAGGAGAUCGGCAGUUAAACGCCCGUUAUAAAAUCUUAGAAGAUCGGCAGUUAAACGCCCGUUAUAAAAUCCCAGGAGAUCGGCAGUUAAACGCCCGUUAUAAAAUCCCAGGAGAUCGGCAGUUAAACUCCCGUUAGAAAAUCCCAGGAGA